rnacentral:rRNA from 1 species
CAUCACUACGCUAGAUGCAUAUCAAUAAGCGGAGGAAAAGGAAACUAACAAGGAUUCCCUUAGUAACGGCGAGUGAAGCGGGAAGAGCUCAAAUUUGAAAUCUUAAAGGGUUUCCCUUUACGAAUUGUAGUUUAAAGAAGUGUUUUCUGUUGGAGUUUCGGUAAAAGUUCUUUGGAAUAGGACAUCAUAGAGGGUGAGAAUCCCGUAUUUGACCGUUACUUUCCAGCUGUGUGAUACACUUUCAAAGAGUCGGAUUGUUUGGGAAUGCUGUCCAAAAUGGGUGGUAAAUUUCAUCUAAAGCUAAAUAUUGGCGAGAGACCGAUAGCGAACAAGUACCGUGAGGGAAAGAUGAAAAGAACUUUGAAAAGAGAGUUAAACAGUACAUGAAAUUGUCAAAAGGGAAGCGUUUGUCACCAGUGUUGUUUAGUUGAAAAUCAAUUCAAUAAUUUUUGAUUUUAAGUAGUAUUGACUUCAUCAGCUUGCUGCUUUCUUUUCAGGAAUUAUUGAAUGCACUUUUCAGUUAACAAGUCAACAUCAAUUUCUUUUGUUGUAAAAGGGUAAGAGGAAGGUGGCUUACGUUUCGGCGUAAGUGUUUAUAGCCUUUUACCUCUGCAAUCGGAGAGAUUGAGGACAGCAGCGUAGACUCCUUCUGGGGUUAGAUACACUUGUGCUAAGCUAUAGCCUUGUAUAGACAACUUGUUGACUAUGCUCAGUCAUGUAGCUUACUCGCUUGUGCUAUUUUACCUACGCUUAGGAUGUUGACACACGCGCGUGCUCG